AUAAAACUGAACUAGGUAAAAAUUUCCAGAACUAAUAAAAAAAUUGGAUUCAAGCAGGAAAAAAAAAUUAGUAACAUGGAACUAAAUGAAUUGAGGAAGAUAAUUAUAUUUUUCAUGACCUUUUGUUCUAAGCAUUACUGACUUUUUAAAAAUGGGGCUUUCUUUUCUAGAUUUAAGAAAACCUUUUCUCUUAAGCUAACUGACUUACAGCAAUUUAAUUAAAUAUACCUUUGUGAACACAUUUAAACAUUUGUCUUUUCUCCCUACUGGAAUGCUCCAGAAUUCAGAAACUCUCAGUGAGUAUUCUUAUGUUUUGAUGGCAAUAUAUUUAUUGUAUAAGUUCAGUAAGAAUCUGUUCUCCCUAUCAUAGGACACAAUUGGAAACACUGGUUAUAUUACUAAGGCUUUGACUGGAAUGUCAUAUCUGAGAAAGAUCUGCAUCGACCGAUUCGAUCAGAAAGCUUUAAGAUUCUGAGGUUGAAUUUCUGGAGCCAGUAAAGUCCCAAUGGAAAUAGAAGCCUGAUACCUUGCUUCCAGAGUUCCCAGCAACCUUACAAGAAAUGUCUCUUAUUGAAUACCUGAUCACUUGAACUAUAGGUCUCACUUUGAAAAUAUACCUGAAAUACUGCCUCCUGAAAUGAGUUUGACUCAACUAACCUCUCAGAGACUGGGUCGAUGAAAUGAGACAAGCUACCAGCUCAACUUUUAAUGUGCAAAACUCCCAAGGAAAACUGAUGGGGUUCAGGACAGCCAGACCCCCCCACUUCCAAUGUGCUACUUUGGCAUGUGGAUUAUUUUGAGCUGAAGAUACUGGCGACACUGUGGGCUCAAGAGAUAAGUUUUGCCCCUCCCCCCAACUACACAGAAGUAUCUAAAGUGGGGGGGGGGGAGGGUGUUUCCCAGAAUAAGGAUUAUUAGCAGAGAUAAAUUUUAUCGGAGUGACCCAUCUGCAUGGCAGGGCAACACCUAAUUACCAAACAUCUGCUUUUCUUGUCACCCUGUGAAUUACACUCCUUUCCUCUGAGGUCCCAGUCCCCUACCCAAUUCUCCUUCAAGAUGACAUCUACACCCCAUUUUGCCCCACUCUCUGUGCAGAUGCCCCAUAUGUAUGCUAUUAAACUUGAUUUUCUCCUGUUAA